rnacentral:tRNA from 1 species
AAAAAUUUAGUUAAUAUAUAACAUUAGCUUGUCAAGCUAAAAUUAAUUAAAUAAAAAAAAAUUAAUUUUUA